UUAACAGACUCACCAAAUACAGCCACAAGGUCCAAAGACUUCUUAAGGCAGAGAAAGAGAAGGGACGUGGUGAAACCAUCUCCCUGCUCAAAGAUGACAAAGCCUACCUGCAAGGAGAACUGAGAAAAAGAAGAUGAACUCAUCCAUCAACUACUCACCAAGAAGGAUGAAGAUGUUACCAAGUUUGGCAAGUCCAAUGUCAAAUACAGCCAUGGAAAACCAACUUUGAAGAAGGUGCAACUAUUAAUGGCUUUUGAUGAGGGUGAGGGGGACUCCAGUUCUAUUCUCUCUUCAUCUGAAGCUUGCAGAUACACCCCUGAGGGUCUCCGAAGCGCCAGAACUGUGGUAGAUCCUCUCUGAAGCCCUCCCCACGUCACAUCCAUCAUCCUGCACCGAGAUUAU